rnacentral:rRNA from 1 species
CCUACGGGAGGCAGCAGUGGGGAAUUUUGGACAAUGGGCGCAAGCCUGAUCCAGCAAUGCCGCGUGCAGGAUGAAGGCCUUCGGGUUGUAAACUGCUUUUGUACGGAGCGAAACGGUCUACUUUAAUACAGUGGGCUAAUGACGGUACCGUAAGAAUAAGCACCGGCUAACUACGUGCCAGCAGCCGCGGUAAUACGUAGGGUGCGAGCGUUAAUCGGAAUUACUGGGCGUAAAGCGUGCGCAGGCGGUUAUAUAAGACAGAUGUGAAAUCCCCGGGCUCAACCUGGGACCUGCAUUUGUGACUGUAUAGCUAGAGUACGGUAGAGGGGGAUGGAAUUCCGCGUGUAGCAGUGAAAUGCGUAGAUAUGCGGAGGAACACCGAUGGCGAAGGCAAUCCCCUGGACCUGUACUGACGCUCAUGCACGAACGACGGUGGGGAGGACGAAACAAGGAGUUAGUAUACCCGUCGGUAGGUACCGACCGACCCGUAAACCGAACUAGUCAACUAGGUUGGUUUGGGUUCGUUC